UACGGAGGGUGCAAGCGUUAUCCGGAUUCACUGGGUUUAAAGGGUGCGUAGGCGGGUUGGUAAGUCCGUGGUGAAAUCUCCGAGCUUAACUCGGAAACUGCCGUGGAUACUAUCAAUCUUGAAUAUCGUGGAGGUAAGCGGAAUAUGUCAUGUAGCGGUGAAAUGCUUAGAGAUGACAUAGAACACCAAUUGCGUAGGCAGCUUACUAGGCAGAUAUUGACGCUCAUGCACGAAAGCGUGGGGAUCAAACAGG
rnacentral:rRNA from 1 species